GAUAAACAGAGAGGAAGGAGGGGAUGACGUCAAGUCCUCAUGGCCCUUUCGGGGUGGGAUACACACGUGUUUCAAUGGCGGUGACAAUGGGAUGUAAGGGGCGACCCUUCGCAAAUCUCAAAAAGCCGUCUCAGUUCGGAUUGGGCUGUGCAACUCGAGCCCAUGAAGUUGGAAUCGCUAGUAAUCGUGGAUCAGCACGCCACGGUGAAUACGUUCCCGGGCCUUGUACACACCGCCCGUCACACCAUGGGAGUUGGUUUUACCUGAAGACGGUGCGCUAACCCGCAAGGGAGGCAGCCGCCACGUAUGUAGGAAUUUUU
rnacentral:rRNA from 1 species